UGGGGCCGUUUAUCGGAAUCUGGGCGUAAGCGCACGCAGGCGGUUUGUUAGUCAGAUGUGAAAUCCCCGGGCUCAACCUGGGAACUGCAUCUGAUACUGGCCAGCUUGAGUCUCGUAGAGGGGGGUAGAAUUCCAGGUGUAGCGGUGAAAUGCGUAGAGAUCUGGAGGAAUACCGGUGGCGAAGGCGGCCCCCUGGACGAAGACUGACGCUCAGGUGCGAAAGCGUGGGGAGCAAACAGGAUUAGAUACCCUGGUAGUCCACGCCGUAAACGAUGUCGACUUGGAGGUUGUGCCCUUGAGGCGUGGCUUCCGGAGCUAACGCGUUAAGUCGACCGCCUGGGGAGUACGGCCGCAAGGUUAAAACUCAAAUGAAUUGACGGGGGCCCGCACAAGCGGUGGAGCAUGUGGUUUAAUUCGAUGCAACGCGAAGAACCUUACCUGGUCUUGACAUCCACGGAAGUUUUCAGAGAUGAGAAUGUGCCUUCGGGAACCGUGAGACAGGUGCUGCAUGGCUGUCGUCAGCUC
rnacentral:rRNA from 1 species